CUGCAUGAAGUCGGAAUUGCUAGUAAUCGCGGAUCAGCAUGCCGCGGUGAAUACGUUCCCGGGCCUUGUACACACCGCCCGUCACACCAUGGGAGCCGGUAAUACCCGAAGUCAGUAGUCCAACCUCGUGAGGACGCUGCCGAAGGUAGGAUUGGCGACUGGGUGAAGUCGUAACAAGGUACC
rnacentral:rRNA from 1 species